CUUCAGCCAUGACAGCAGUCCCCUGUGUUUUGUUGGAGUAGUGGACCCAAAAGAGAGAUGGUCUUUAUUUCAGUGGCAGCUGGACUGGUCUGAACUGAGUAACAUCUAGUAAAAUCUCAGGAUACUCAGAAUCAUAAAAGUCUAUCUGGAAAACUGUGAACAGGCAGUGUGAUAGAAAUCUGCAGACUUGACCUUGCUGCUAACCUAAUCUGUGAGCAUCUCCUUUCUUCUUCUCCCCCUCACCUCUGUAGAUGGACAGAGAAAAGAAUGGCAUUUCCCUGAGUUUGUAGAUCAGAAUCUUCUGCCAAAGCUGCAGGUCUUGAAAAGGAGCCUCUUUUGGAAGGGAUAGGAUUAAGGAAUGCCUCUGCUCCCAGUGCAAUAGGUUGCUCCAAAGCACACCUUGCUCAGCAAGGUGAGGCAAGGCAGGAGAUGGAAGGAGGAGAUAACCAGGAAGCAGGAUAGUUAUGUACACCUUUCAGCUGUGCCGUGAAGUCUCACAGCAACAGAAGCAAGGAGCAGACCCCUCCCAACCUAUGAGUCUUCACAAGAGCAGCUACAGAGCCUGCCUUGUCCUGAAGAACAAUACAAAUAAUUUGUUGGAA